UCGUUGUUCAUUCGUUGCACGACCAGGUUGUUAAUUUGCUCUCUGGCGAGAACUGUUGAACUAUGAAUAAUUUAGUACGAAACAUGUCAUUGUGAACGAGCCUCACGCUUUGCUCUCUGUGCGAUAGCUACAGAACUGUCAAGUGUUCUACUCUCAUUCGUUUUGUAAAAGCCGACUGAAACACAUCAUAAAAUCAUUCUCUUAAUAAAGUUUUCUCAUUAUUACACUUAUUAUCUUCACCAGUUGGAAUCAGCCGUGUAACCAAAUACUGUCUGUUUUUCUUCAUCUGUUUACUGAUAAUAAUUCCAGCUUGAUUCGCAAUUAGGCAGGAGAAUUAAAAAAAAAAUGGCAAAGAUCGGAAUAAUCACAACCAUUGCACUUAUAAUUAUUUUUGUGUUAUCAGUUUCAUUAUCGAUUGGAGCUACAUCGGCAGAAACGAAGAUUGAAGAAGGGAUUCCCGAGACGUUUUUCGAAAACUUUUUGGAUCCAACACAUCCGCCAGAGGAGCCAAUAUUGAAUUCAUCGGAUGAAGAAAGUGAUUCGAAGUUUUUUUCAGAAGAGUUCACACAAUGACGAGAAGGACUUACUGAAUAGCGAUGAACUCGAGAAAAUAAAACUCAAAACUGUCUCACUGGACACAUUCUGAUUCUCACAAUAAACAAAUGUUCAAAUAAAAAAGCGUACAAAUGGUACAUUAAAA